CCACAGCUGAAGGUCAGUCCCCAAAGCUGGUUAUGGUUGAAAGGGAGGAAAAGCUGCUCCCACGUGGCUCUGGCUGAGGCUUCCGAGACUCUGCAGGUGGGGGCCGUCUGUCUUCCCCAGGUGGGAGCUACUUCUUUUUAGAAGCAGGCUCCACGGCGGUUUUCAGGUGUGGCCUUGCCCAGCGUCCCGAUGUUUUGCUUCCUGCCUGGCCUCGGCGCUCUUUGAUGACCUCCUCUUGCCACACACUGUGGUCUCCAUAGGCUGCCCACUGCUGAUCCGAGGCUGGUGGCCCCCAGCACACGUGGGUUUCUGAGGAACACGCUGAGACUCUCGGGCCAUGCCGUGACACAGGGGAGACAGCGUCUGCUCUUUUUCCAUUUUUGUUCGUUUUCAGUGCUCUGACCCUCAGGAAGCCCACUUAAGCAUCCCAGAAUCCAGACGGCCGUGAACAAAGCUGCUGUGGUUUGGGGCUGCAAAACUGGCCCACAGCCCACCUGGAUAACUGAAUCGAACAUGCCUCAGCCGCCCUCACCACAGGCACCAUCCCCCUCACAGAAGUUUGAUGUCUGAUCAUUCAGCACUGGCUGAGCCUCAGAGCUAAAAUGGAAAAUGCAUUUUAUGAGCAGAUAACACAUUUUUGGAAUGGCUACUUUAAACAUUGUGGAUACAGAUUCACAGAGACUAUUUUUAGAUGAAUUAUUUCUUCUAUUUACCAUACUGAUUUGCUGGAAGAAAGAAAAACAAUAUUUUAAAAAGGGAAAACAUUCUUUAAAAGCAGUGACUCUAAAUUUCCCCUGAAGAGCAAAAUGCUGUCUGUGUCUCACUCAAUGUGGUGGCUGCUACAGGAGGAUCUUCCCAGGCCUUCUCAGGGAAUUCCCAUCAGGAUCACAGGAAUGGUACCUGGCAGACACAACCCAGUCUGCACCUUCCAUGGGCCACAGCUGAUGGUACGAGGAGAGGUGUGACAUCUGCCUGACCUCAGCUCUGGGGGUUCCUGUGGGUGGACAGAAGGAGCCCUGGAGGCCCGGCCAGGAUGCGUCAUCUGUGGCUACCACGUGGAUUCUCUGGUGUGCUGAGUCAAGGCAGCGAUCUUCCAAGUGUGGUCGCUGUACCUCCAUCAGCACCUCCUGGGACUUGUCAGGACGCUGACCCGGGCCCCAGCCAAGUUCUGCUGCUGCCUCAGGGGGACAGAGGCAGGGCCUCACUGUCUGAUGAUCCAGCCCUGCAGGGGGCCCGCUGCACCUGCAGGUGUGAGAGCCGCCGCUGAAUUAAGGUGACUGGAAGGUUUCAGGGCAUGGGAGGGAGGUAGAUCAUUUGGGGCUGAGAAGCACUUUUGCAUCUCUUUCCUGCCCAGAAGCGACCAGAGAGGCCAGGCAUUGUCACCUGGAGACUUUGGAAAUGAAGCCCUGAGCUGAUCUAAUAAUUUCUGGCAAAUUCUAUGGGGUUGCUUCAUGAAUUAGGAAAAGCCAUAGAAACUCAAGUGUAAAUCGUGUGUUAUAUCCCAGGGCCGCGCGCUUAAUGUGGACUGUGGAGCUUGUACGCAGCCUGUCACACCCUGCCAGCCUCAAUACGGCUCUCCUUACCCCGGGCCUCUGCACGCACAUAUGAAAGGCAACCUCACCUCUGUGGCUUGCAUGGUUCAGCGAUUCAUACUGUGUUAGUAUUCCUAAUCUAUUUCUAAGUAACUUAAUUUUUCUCGAAAAUAGUAAUUUAAAAUGUUGUCCAUAUAGAUGAAUAACAAUCAGAAAACUUUCCUUAGGGAUGCUAAAACAUCAUUAAUUAGCAAUAAAACAAAUUUAAGUUUUAUGAGCUGUCGUGGCAUUUAUCAUUCUGUAAGAUUGCAAACAUAGUUUUCCAUAGAUGUCAUAAUUCAUUAAGAGAAGUGGUGAAAUUUGGAUGUGUUUGAAAGAACAAGGAACUAGAUUAAACACCCUCUGCUGCACCGCAGGGGCUGACGAGGGAAGACAUAGGUGGUGUCUGAAACGUUCUGUGGCUACAGAGUCCUCUUUCAUAUCCUUCCUUUAGGGAGAGACUCGGGAGAGACUCAGAAGAGAGGUGUUUUCCGGCAAUAGCAGAGCAUAGGAACCUCUUGAUAGACCACUGAGAUGAGUCAGCAUCGGCAGCCUGCACAGGGUGGUGGGGUGGGCUGGGGCCUCAGUGAGUGGGGUGCAGACAGGGGCUUCUCUCCACCUGCCAAGAUUCCACUCAAAUGCUGCGUCUCCCUGAAGCCCCUCCCAUCUUCACAGACCUUCAUUUAACACUUACUGAAGGGUAGAUGGUUGUAUAGCUCACUGAGGUGUCUGACUCCCUGACCAGACUGUGGGACUCUUCAGAAUGAAACAGACUUUUCCUUCUUUAUUUUCCCCGUUUCUAACUUAGUCAUGCACAGAAUAAACGCUUGGUAAGACUCUACUGAAUGAUGAUACUUCUCCAGGACGAAGGUGCCUGUGAAGAAUGGGAAGGCCUGGUGCCGUAGUGUCUUAGAUUCUGAUAUGCCACAUGUCCUGCUUAUCACCCUGAAGUCUCAAAAGAUAAUCAACUUGUUAAACACUGUGCUUUGUACCUACUUCAUUUUUUAAAGAGCUUUUAUUUUGACUGUUGGACAUCACGGUUAUUCUUCCUGAACUCAGCCCUGAUAGUGCAGUGCCCCAGUACAAGUCCCUGGCACAUUGGCCUGGAGUUUAAGGCUCUGCAUACCCCACCCGGGCAUCCUGCUUCCCCUGCACAAUCGCUUUGCUGGAUCAGUGCUAGCUGGGUCUGUCUCUCCAGCGCUUUAGAAGCCGCCCUCCUGCUGUGUCUUCGCUCAUUCUGUUCCCUUCUCCCGGUCCCCCACUGUUUGCUGCUUUGCUUUUUAUUUCUCAAGGCUCAGUUCAAAAGCCACCAUUUCCACCAAGACGUGGUGACCUCAACUGGAUUGGAGACAACGCCUCUCCCCAGCUCCUCUGGAAUAUGGUUCUGUCCUCUGAGCCUGGUAUCGGCGUCGAUGCUGUCUACAUGCGCUGCUGGCUGGUCGCCUACUGGAUGUGUCUGCCCGCUGGGGGAAGGAACCAGGCCCUGGAAUGGGAUCCUGAGUAGGAGCACAGUCUGGAUAUUCCUGCAGGAGUGAAGAGACAUUCUCAGGGCGGAUGUUGCCAGGACAAAGAAACACAAGCAACAACAAGAACAAAACUGGAGUUGUCUCUCUCACAACUCAAGUGGAGCCUGAGGAAUAACAAGAGCUCAUUAAAUAUCUGUUGCAUGAAUGAGUGAAUAAAUGAAGGGAGGACUUUUAUGAAAACACUUCUUUACAUCUGGAAAUGUUACCCCCACGUUUUCUGGCAUCUGAUGUUGCUGCAAAUGUGAAGCCAAGGAGACCCUCCAGGAUGCCCAAGCCUGGGAGAAAUCCUGAUGACUGGGGGUUGGAAAAGAAGCAUGACACAUAAGAAAUGUUAGUUCUCUAUUCUUAUCAUUGAUUAUCAGAGUAGAUUAACCAUAAAACUAACAAUGCUGAAACUUGAGGACCUUCCCCAGAACUGCUGGGCCUCCAGCAGCAUGAUGCAUAGGUUUUUGUGAAAUUUUCAAAAGAUUUUUAACUGCAAUCAGCAAAAACGAUUGUCUCUCUCAGUCCAACUUCCCAGCAGUCAAAUUUCCCACAGUGGCAAAUGAUGUCAGAAUUGCUACAGCAUCUUUUGAGUCUGUCUAAGGGGAAGUAGAGCCAUGGGUGCAUUUGGUUCAGAGUUAGUGGAGUACGUGUAUAUGGUCAUAGUCACUUCUGUGUUCUGAUAGUGAAAUGGUUUUGAAAACUACUCCAAUAACCCACUCUGCUGACUUACCCAGCAUCUUGGUGUUGCAGGAAAUCAGGGACCCCGAAUGGAGGGACUGGCUGGAGCCGCGGCAGAGGAACA
rnacentral:lncRNA from 1 species